GCAGGACCUGCUCACAGGAUCUGGCAAGAACAGGGAUGAUAUUGCAGAAAUACACAUUCCUAGAAGUGCUCACACAAACACCUCCUGCUAUCAAGUGGAACCAGAACACCCCGAUAUCAAGGAUGGUACAAAAACAUUCCCCAAGGCUAACAGGAACACACUGACCCCUCCCAAAAGGGGCUAGAUCCCAGGAAAGGGAGGAAAGGCCCAGAUAAAAGUUCCUCAGCAAACACCAAGAGCUAUUAACUGUGAUGUUACCUCAGAGCAACCCAGCAAGAUACAUAAACUGUUUUGACCAAAUUUGAGAGCGACAGGGACUGUGGAGAAGCAGACUGAACCCCAGCGCCAGAAGUGGGGGUGUUUGGAUACAUACUAACAUGGCUGCUACUCUGAAACCACCCACAUGAGAAAACCCUAUCCUUGUUAGUUUUAAAGGUGAGUCUGAAAACAUCUCAGAUGUCUGGGGUCUUUGUUCCCUCAAGAAUACUAUUCAGACUUACCGGACUGGAGCCGUUUCAUCUUUGAGCGCAUACCAUUCUUUUGGUAAUGGUUCAUAGAGGCACCAUAGUGCCCAGUCAAAUCCAUCUGCAGCCACCGAAUACUCAAGAAGUUUAAAGUCAU